GCCCGUUAAACGAAUGUCGACUUGGAGGUUGUUCCCUUGAGGAGUGGCUUCCGGAGCUAACGCGUUAAGUCGACCGCCUGGGGAGUACGGCCGCAAGGUUAAAACUCAAAUGAAUUGACGGGGGCCCGCACAAGCGGUGGAGCAUGUGGUUUAAUUCGAUGCAACGCGAAGAACCUUACCUACUCUUGACAUCCACAGAACUUUUCAGAGAUGAAUUGGUGCCUUCGGGAACCGUGAGACAGGUGCUGCAUGGCUGUCGUCAGCUCGUGUUGUGAAAUGUUGGGUUAAGUCCCGCAACGAGCGCAACCCUUAUCCUUUGUUGCCAGCGGUUCGGCCGGGAACUCAAAGGAGACUGCCAGUGAUAAACUGGAGGAAGGUGGGGAUGACGUCAAGUCAUCAUGGCCCUUACGAGUAGGGCUACACACGUGCUACAAUGGCAUAUACAAAGAGAAGCGACCUCGCGAGAGCAAGCGGACCUCAUAAAGUAUGUCGUAGUCCGGAUUGGAGUCUGCAACUCGACUCCAUGAAGUCGGAAUCGCUAGUAAUCGUAGAUCAGAAUGCUACGGUGAAUACGUUCCCGGGCCUUGUACACACCGCCCGUCACACCAUGGGAGUGGGUUGCAAAAGAAGUAGGUAGCUUAACCUUCGGGAGGGCGCUUACCACUUUGUGAUUCAUGACUGGGGUGAAGUCGUAACAAGGGUAACCAGAAAG
rnacentral:rRNA from 1 species